rnacentral:rRNA from 1 species
AGCGAACGCUGGCGGCAGGCCUAACACAUGCAAGUCGAACGAACCCUUCGGGGUUAGUGGCGGACGGGUGAGUAACACGUGGGAACGUGCCUUUAGGUUCGGAAUAACUCAGGGAAACUUGUGCUAAUACCGAAUAUGCCCUUCGGGGGAAAGAUUUAUCGCCUUUAGAGCGGCCCGCGUUUGAUUAGCUAGUUGGUUGAGGUAAUGGCUCACCAAGGCGACGAUCAGUAGCUGGUCUGAGAGGAUGAUCAGCCACAUUGGGACUGAGACACGGCCCAAACUCCUACGGGAGGCAGCAGUGGGGAAUCUUGCGCAAUGGGCGAAGGCCUGACGCAGCCAUGCCGCGUGAAUGAUGAAGGUCUUAGGGUUGUAAAGUUCUUUCACCGGGGACGAUAAUGACGGUACCCGGAGAAGAAGCCCCGGCUAACUUCGUG